rnacentral:rRNA from 1 species
UACGUAGGGUGCAAGCGUUGUCCGGAAUCAUUGGGCGUAAAGAGCGUGUAGGCGGCUUGGCAAGUCUGACGUGAAAGCCCGCGGCUCAACCGCGGAUUGUCGUUGGAAACUGCCUCGCUAGAGUCCGGAAGAGGAGAAUGGAAUUCCCGGUGUAGCGGUGAAAUGCGCAGAUAUCGGGAAGAACACCCGUGGCGAAGGCGGUUCUCUGGGACGGUACUGACGCUGAGACGCGAAAGCGUGGGGAGCGAACAGG